GCGAGUGCUUGCACUUGCGCUGACGAGUGGCGGACGGGUGAGUAACGCGUAGGAAUCUACCUGGUAGUGGGGGAUAGCCCGGGGAAACUCGGAUUAAUACCGCAUACGCCCUACGGGGGAAAGCAGGGGCUCUUCGGACCUUGCGCUAUUGGAUGAGCCUGCGUUAGAUUAGCUAGUUGGUGGGGUAAAGGCCUACCAAGGCGACGAUCUAUAGCUGGUCUGAGAGGAUGAUCAGCCACACUGGGACUGAGACACGGCCCAGACUCCUACGGGAGGCAGCAGUGGGGAAUAUUGCGCAAUGGGCGAAAGCCUGACGCAGCCAUGCCGCGUGUGUGAAGAAGGCUCUAGGGUCGUAAAGCACUUUAAGUGGGGAGGAAGGCUACUUGGUUAAUACCUGAGUAGAUUGACGUUACCCACAGAAUAAGCACCGGCUAACUCCGUGCCAGCAGCCGCGGUAAUACGGAGGGUGCGAGCGUUAAUCGGAAUUACUGGGCGUAAAGCGCGCGUAGGCGGUUUUGUAAGCUGGGUGUGAAAGCCCCGGGCUCAACCUGGGAACUGCAUUCAGAACUGCAAGGCUAGAGUACAGUAGAGGGUGGUAGAAUUUCCUGUGUAGCGGUGAAAUGCGUAGAUAUAGGAAGGAAUACCAGUGGCGAAGGCGGCCACCUGGACUGAUACUGACGCUGAGGUGCGAAAGCGUGGG
rnacentral:rRNA from 1 species